UCGUCACACUAUCAUUAACUGAAUCCAUAGGUUAAUGAGGCGAACCGGGGGAACUGAAACAUCUAAGUACCCCGAGGAAAAGAAAUCAACCGAGAUUCCCCCAGUAGCGGCGAGCGAACGGGGAGGAGCCCAGAGCCUGAAUCAGCAUGUGUGUUAGUGGAAGCGUCUGGAAAGGCGCGCGAUACAGGGUGACAGCCCCGUACACAAAAGCGCAUGUGCUGUGAGCUCGAUGAGUAGGGCGGGACACGUGGUAUCCUGUCUGAAUAUGGGGGGACCAUCCUCCAAGGCUAAAUACUCCUGACUGACCGAUAGUGAACCAGUACCGUGAGGGAAAGGCGAAAAGAACCCCGGCGAGGGGAGUGAAAAAGAACCUGAAACCGUGUACGUACAAGCAGUGGGAGCACAGGUUUACCUGUGUGACUGCGUACCUUUUGUAUAAUGGGUCAGCGACUUAUAUUCUGUAGCAAGGUUAACCGAAUAGGGGAGCCGGAGGGAAACCGAGUCUUAAUUGGGCGUUAAGUUGCAGGGUAUAGACCCGAAACCCGGUGAUCUAGCCAUGGGCAGGUUGAAGGUUGGGUAACACUAACUGGAGGACCGAACCGACUAAUGUUGAAAAAUUAGCGGAUGACCUGUGGCUGGGGGUGAAAGGCCAAUCAAACCGGGAGAUAGCUGGUUCUCCCCGAAAGCUAUUUAGGUAGCGCCUCGUGAAUUCAUCUCCGGGGGUAGAGCACUGUUUCGGCUAGGGGGCCAUCCCGGCUUACCAACCCGAUGCAAACUGCGAAUACCGGAGAAUGUUAUCACGGGAGACACACGGCGGGUGCUAACGUCCGUCGUGAAGAGGGAAACAACCCAGACCGCCAGCUAAGGUCCCAAAGUCAUGGUUAAGUGGGAAACGAUGUGGGAAGGCCCAGACAGCCAGGAUGUUGGCUUAGAAGCAGCCAUCAUUUAAAGAAAGCGUAAUAGCUCACUGGUCGAGUCGGCCUGCGCGGAAGAUGUAACGGGGCUAAACCAUGCACCGAAGCUGCGGCAGCGACGCUGAUGCGUUGUUGGGUAGGGGAGCGUUCUGUAAGCCUGCGAAGGUGGCCUGUGAGGGUUGCUGGAGGUAUCAGAAGUGCGAAUGCUGACAUAAGUAACGAUAAAGCGGGUGAAAAGCCCGCUCGCCGGAAGACCAAGGGUUCCUGUCCAACGUUAAUCGGGGCAGGGUGAGUCGACCCCUAAGGCGAGGCCGAAAGGCGUAGUCGAUGGGAAACGGGUUAAUAUUCCCGUACUUGGUGUUACUGCGAAGGGGGGACGGAGAAGGCUAUGUUGGCCGGGCGACGGUUGUCCCGGUUUAAGCGUGUAGG
rnacentral:rRNA from 1 species